rnacentral:rRNA from 1 species
GUCACUGACACUGAGGAGCGAAAAGCGUGGGGAGCGAACAGGAUUAGAUACCUUGGUAGUCCACGCCGUAAACGGUGGAUGCUGGAUGUGGGGACCAUUCCACGGUCUCCGUGUCGGAGCCAACGCGUUAAGCAUCCCGCCUGGGGAGUACGGCCGCAAGGCUAAAACUCAAAGAAAUUGACGGGGGCCCGCACAAGCGGCGGAGCAUGCGGAUUAAUUCGAUGCAACGCGAAGAACCUUACCUGGGCUUGACAUGUUCCCGACAGCCGUAGAGAUACGGUCUCCCUUCGGGGCGGGUUCACAGGUGGUGCAUGGUCGUCGUCAGCUCGUGUCGUGAGAUGUUGGGUUAAGUCCCGCAACGAGCGCAACCCUCGCCCUGUGUUGCCAGCACGUCAUGGUGGGAACUCACGGGGGACCGCCGGGGUCAACUCGGAGGAAGGUGGGGAUGACGUCAGAUCAUCAUGCCCCUUACGUCCAGGGCUUCACGCAUGCUACAAUGGCCGGUACAACGGGAUGCGACACUGUGAGGUGGAGCGGAUCCCUUAAAACCGGUCUCAGUUCGGAUUGGAGUCUGCAACCCGACUCCAUGAAGGCGGAGUCGCUAGUAAUCGCGGAUCAGCAACGCCGCGGUGAAUGCGUUCCCGGACCUU